ACCUAGCUGACGAGUCCCAAAUAGAAUGAAACGCGUGUCCUGAAU
rnacentral:hammerhead_ribozyme from 1 species